rnacentral:rRNA from 1 species
UACGUAGGGGGCAAGCGUUGUCCGGAUUUAUUGGGCGUAAAGAGCGUGUAGGCGGCCUGAAAGGUCAGCUGUGAAAACUCGGGGCUCAACCCCGAGACGUCGGUGGAAACCACCUUGCUAGAGUCCGGAAGAGGAGAGUGGAAUUCCUGGUGUAGCGGUGAAAUGCGCAGAUAUCAGGAAGAACACCGAUUGCGAAGGCAGCUUACUAUGGUUUUAUUGACGCUGAGGCACGAAAGCGUGGGGAUCAAACAGG